GACGAACGCUGGCGGCGUGCUUGACACAUGCAAGUCGAACGGAAAGGCCUGCUUUCCCUUGUGGAUUGCGGGUACUCGAGUGGCGAACGGGUGAGUAACACGUGAGUGAUCUGCCCCCAACUUGGGUAUAAGCCUGGGAAACUGGGUCUAAUUCCCGAUAGGACUGCAGGGUGGUGCCUGUGGUGGAAAACGAUUUUCUAGUGGUUGGGGAUGAGCUCGCGGCCUAUCAGCUUGUUGGUGGGGUAAUGGCCUACCAAGGCGGCGACGGGUAGCCGGCCUGGGAGGGUGGGCGGCCACAUUGGGACUGAGAUACGGCCCAGACUCCUACGGGAGGCAGCAGUGGGGAAUAUUGCACAAUGGGCGGAAGCCUGAUGCAGCGACGCCGCGUGGGGGAUGACGGCCUUCGGGUUGUAAACUCCUUUCGACCGCGAGGAAGCCACCUGGUUGGAAGGGUGGUGACGGUAGUGGUAGAAGAAGCACCGGCUAACUACGUG
rnacentral:rRNA from 1 species